rnacentral:rRNA from 1 species
AUCUGCCUGGUAGUGGGGGACAACGUUUCGAAAGGAACGCUAAUACCGCAUACGUCCUACGGGAGAAAGUGGGGGAUCUUCGGACCUCACGCUAUCAGAUGAGCCUAGGUCGGAUUAGCUAGUUGGCGAGGUAAAGGCUCACCAAGGCGACGAUCCGUAACUGGUCUGAGAGGAUGAUCAGUCACACUGGAACUGAGACACGGUCCAGACUCCUACGGGAGGCAGCAGUGGGGAAUAUUGGACAAUGGGCGAAAGCCUGAUCCAGCCAUGCCGCGUGUGUGAAGAAGGUCUUCGGAUUGUAAAGCACUUUAAGUUGGGAGGAAGGGCAGUAAGUUAAUACCUUGCUGUCUUGACGUUACCGACAGAAUAAGCACCGGCUAACUUC